rnacentral:tRNA from 1 species
AAAUAAGAAGCAUUAAUCUUGAUGCCUUUAGUUUCGACCUAGAAGAAGAUAAUAUAUUAUCCCUAUUUA